AGCGCAGGCGGUGCGGCAAGUCUGAUGUGAAAGCCCGGGGCUCAACCCCGGUACUGCAUUGGAAACUGUCGUACUAGAGUGUCGGAGGGGUAAGCGGAAUUCCUAGUGUAGCGGUGAAAUGCGUAGAUAUUAGGAGGAACACCAGUGGCGAAGGCGGCUUACUGGACUGUAACUGACGCUGAGGCUCGAAAGCUAGGGUAGCGAACG
rnacentral:rRNA from 1 species